CGGGGGGGCAAGCGUUGUUCGGAAUUACUGGGCGUAAAGGGCUCGUAGGCGGCCAACUAAGUCAGACGUGAAAUCCCCAGGCUCAACCUGGGAACUGCGUCUGAUACUGGUUGGCUUGAAUUCGGGAGAGGGAUGCAGAAUUCCAGGUGUAGCGGUGAAAUGCGUAGAUAUCUGGAGGAAUACCGGUGGCGAAGGCGGCAUCCUGGACCGACAUUGACGCUGAGGAGCGAAAGCCAGGGGAGCAAACGGAAUUAGAUACCCCGGUAGUCCUAGCCCUAAACGAUGAAUGCUUGGUGUGACGGGUAUCGAUCCCUGUCGUGCCGAAGCUAACGCAUUAAGCAUUCCGCCUGGGGAGUACGGUCGCAAGGCUG
rnacentral:rRNA from 1 species